rnacentral:rRNA from 1 species
GGGAAUCUGCCCUUAGGUUCGGAAUAACAGUUGGAAACGACUGCUAAUACCGGAUGAUGACGUAAGUCCAAAGAUUUAUCGCCUGAGGAUGAGCCCGCGUAGGAUUAGCUAGUUGGUGUGGUAAGAGCGCACCAAGGCGACGAUCCUUAGCUGGUCUGAGAGGAUGAUCAGCCACACUGGGACUGAGACACGGCCCAGACUCCUACGGGAGGCAGCAGUGGGGAAUAUUGGACAAUGGGCGAAAGCCUGAUCCAGCAAUGCCGCGUGAGUGAUGAAGGCCUUAGGGUUGUAAAGCUCUUUUACCCGGGAUGAUAAUGACAGUACCGGGAGAAUAAGCUCCGGCUAACUCCGUGCCAGCAGCCGCGGUAAUACGGAGGGAGCUAGCGUUGUUCGGAAUUACUGGGCGUAAAGCGCACGUAGGCGGCUUUGUAAGUUAGAGGUGAAAGCCUGGAGCUCAACUCCAGAAUUGCCUUUAAGACUGCAUCGCUUGAAUCCAGGAGAGGUGAGUGGAAUUCCGAGU